UUUACUUUAUUAAGACGGAAGGAGGGUCAGUACAAGAAAAUAGAGUUCUAGCGGCAGUUUUCGACCCGGCUGUUUGGCGACUGCCGCUACAAUUGACGCCUCUCCCGCUGAAAAUAUUCACGCCUCUCCCGCCCUUCUCUCUCUCUCUCUCUCUGAAUCAUCCCUCUCUCGCUCUGUCUCUCACUCAGUCGUCUCUCUCCUUUUCUCUCUCUCUUAGUCUGAAUCAUUCCUCUCGCGCUCUCUCUCGCUCUCAGUCGUCUCUCUAUUUCUCUCCCUCAGUCGUCUCUCUUUCUCCCGCUCUCUCUCGCUAAGUUCUCUCUCUCUUGCACUCGUGCUCGCUCUAUCUCUAUCUCUCUCACACACGAUUGGACAUCAGCGAUUCUCUCUGUCUCUCACGGUCUCUCUCUCAGAUACAUCCACAGCAUUUGAUUCACAAUUUAGUCUAAGUACUGAGGAACUCUAAAGGACAGCUUCGAUUUGCCAAGGAGUCAGCCAACUACAUGUGCGAUGGCAAUAAUUUGGUAAACCUAGCUUGGUGGUAAUAAUUUGGUAAACCUUUGUUAUUGUUAUUGUUAUUCAAUGUAUAUAAAGUGGCUUGCAACUAACAGAGCACCACUGCCUUAUCAACAUAAUUCUUGUUUCGUAGUUGCUGUUGGAACCCUGUUUUCUGAAUUAAUUCUUGACAAAUUUUCAAUUAAAUUACGUAUUCUGAAAGACAAAACCCUUAUUACUGUAGUAUUUUUUAAUAUUUUUGGGAAUUUGUGACACUAAUCGAUUCAGUGAAGUUACCGGUACAAGAAUAGUCUUGUACAUGGGGUUGGUACCAUGUCCAUGGAUGAUUUCUGAUACACAAAUCUUCUAAACAAAUAUGUAAGCAAAAUCCUUGCUGUUUUCUUUUCUGAAGAAAAGAGGGGGAUGACAAUAUAUAGAACCAGUGGAACCACCGCUAUAUAAAUGUGCCUUCAGAUCACACAACAAAGAUUUUUGGAACCAUCCAUUGCAGCUUUGUUCAUGAUUAAAAAAUGAGGGAAAGAAGUCUUUCUGAAGUUUCUAACAAGAACAGGUAAAGAAUUACUCCAAAUAUUGAUUGCUCUAUGAAACCUGCGGUAAUGAUGUUCCACACAAAAGGAACGGUCCUGCAUACAGAAGAAAACAAUGAAUUCACAUGGCCACACUCACACACAAAAAUGAAAAUUACUAGACUUUAAAGUAGAUCCUAUCAUAGGAUCGGUGGUGGCUGCUGCCAUGGCGGCAUCCCCUCCACACAAAAGGAACGGUCCUGCAUACAGAAGAAAACAAUGAAUUCACAUGGCCACACUCACACACAAAAAUGAAAAUUACUAGACUUUAAAGUAGAUCCUAUCAUAGGAUCGGUGGUGGCUGCUGCCAUGGCGGCAUCCCCUCUAAUGCAAAAUGCUGAUUUUGCUCUUCGAGAAGAGGAUGCUGUGAAGUCUGGAAUAGAGGAAAUCAAGAAGAAAUUGGGGAUUUUUGUCAAGAGCAUUGAGGAUCUGGGUGAGCAUGCUGACAAGUGCAGCAGGGAUAUAAGAAGGGCAAGAACAGUAGUCCUGCAGAGGAUUAUUAAGAAUCCCAGCAACUGAUACAGAUUUUUGGUAUGCUCUAUUGAUUUCAAGCUAAAUACAUGUUAAGUUCUGGAUCUUGGAUCUAAACUUGGAUGGUUUCCAACUUUCAUCUCUUCAUGUCUAAAUGUAUUUAUUGUUUUAACAUUAAUAUUGUUCUUUGAUUCACAAAAUUGUGGAUGGUGAGUGUUACAUUCUUUUACAACCAUGUUUAUUA